GAUGAACGCUGGCGGCGUGCCUAAUACAUGCAAGUCGAGCGAACGGACGAGAAGCUUGCUUCUCUGAUGUUAGCGGCGGACGGGUGAGUAACACGUGGAUAACCUACCUAUAAGACUGGGAUAACUUCGGGAAACCGGAGCUAAUACCGGAUAAUAUUUUGAACCGCAUGGUUCAAAAGUGAAAGACGGUCUUGCUGUCACUUAUAGAUGGAUCCGCGCUGCAUUAGCUAGUUGGUAAGGUAACGGCUUACCAAGGCAACGAUGCAUAGCCGACCUGAGAGGGUGAUCGGCCCCACUGGGACUGAGACACGGUCCAGACUCCUACGGGAGGCAGCAGUAGGGAAUCGUCCGCAAUGGGCGAAAGCCUGACGGAGCAACGCCGCGUGGGUGAUGAAGGUCUUCGGAUCGUAAGACUCUGUUAUUAGUGAAGAACAUAUGUGUAAGUAACUGUGCACAUCUUGACGGUACCUAAUCAGAAAGCCACGGCUAACUACGUG
rnacentral:rRNA from 1 species